rnacentral:lncRNA from 1 species
GUAGGAUCAAGGCCAAGCCCCUAUAUCAGUCAUUAAACAUUUAGGUCUACUUUUAAAGUCAAUCCUGUUUCUAAUACAGUGAAAUGCCACGAGUGAGUGACUGAAUCCUUUCUACUCAUUAUUUUGUGAGGACCAGAGUUCACGCCAUAUGUGUUAGUACACUCCACACUGACCUGUAAGAGGCAUAAAUAUAGAGCUCUGGUUUCCCACAUAGCUGCAAUACCUGUCUCCUGUAAUCUUCACCAAAAUGACCCUGUCUUCUUGGUGUCUUAAGACUUCCCCAUAACCAUAUCCCUGGACUCUUCCCAUGAGCUCAGAAUUAUUGCUUCUCUGGUUCUCCUAAGCCUCUGCUUCAUCCUGUAUCCUCAGCAUCUUCCCUUACAGUGAUAAUUUGACUUUAUCCUGCUUUUUAAUUCAAGUAUUUGCUCAUAUUCUCACAUUUACCUCUUUUACCGGACAGGUGAGCAAGAGGUUGUGCGCGCAAGGCCACGGCUGGAGCUGCAUGCCCACCAAAGCCACAGCUGAAGACUGCUGGUGUAUUCCUUUGGAGCCCAAAAGUAUAUCAAUUUCAUGGCACAAAGGUUCAUCUUUCUACUACAGUGAACCAGUCCACUUAGAAAAAGGAUCAUCUCAUGAAGAUGAGAACAUGGAUCAGCCAGGCACUUUCAAAACAAAGAACCAAACCAAACUAUUGUGAGUGAUGAGCAAGAACUGGUCCUUAGUAAAAAUGUUUUACAAAACCUGUUAAUAAGAAAAAUUCCACACAAAAGGUAGAGGUUUUGACUUUUAAAGGGAAACACAGAAGCACAAAUAACAAAGACAGUUGUUGGUUAACAAAUUUCAGUCUCAUAUUUCUGGAACUUAGUCAAGGGAGAAUACCCUGGUAGAAAUAAGCCAGUAAACAUGAGUGGAAUAUUUAAUUUAUUGUUUUCCACAUAUUGGAAACUAAAGGAAUUCUAGUAAUAGUUGUAAUUUUUUCUAGUGGAAGGGAGAAAAGUUACAUUGAGAGUAUCAUGGAAGAGAAAAAAAUGUUCAUUUAAUGGAACUGUUAUGUAAUUUGAAAUAAUGCAUUGUUGCAUUUGACCUACAUCCCAGCUCUUGCUGAUGUUGAGGUGAGGGGGUU